UUUCCCGGGAGAAACAUGGCCGGGAGCAGCGAGAAGGCGGCAGACAGCGGGCGAGGGGUCGUGAUCGGGGAUGACUGGCCAGGGUACGACUUGAAGUUGUUCACGUAUCCACAGCACUACUAUGGAGAUCUGGAGUUUGUGCUCAUCCCUCACGGCAUCAUCAUCAACAGAAUUGAGAAGCUGGCUAAAGAUAUUAUGAAAGACAUAGGAAACUCUGAUGUUAUGGUCCUGUGUGUGCUCAAAGGAGGGUACAAAUUCUGUGCUGAUCUUGUGGAACAGCUUAAGAACAUCAGCCGAAAUUCAGAUAGAUUUGUCUCCAUGAAGGUUGAUUUCAUCAGACUCAAAAGUUACAGGGAUGACCAAUCCAUAGAGGAGAUGCAGAUAAUUGGAAGCGAUGAUCUUUCAGCACUUUCUGGAAAGAAUGUUCUCAUUGUUGAGGAUGUUGUGGGAACUGGGAAGACCAUGAAAGCUCUGCACAGCAGCAUAGAGAAAUGCAAGCCCAACAUGGUCAAGGUUGCCAGCUUACUGGUGAAGAGAGCACCUAGAAGUGAUGGCUUUCGACCUGACUGUGAGGACCUUGACCACGGCGAGGUUGAAUAGCCUGCCCAAGGUCACAUGGCUGAUGCUGGAUUUGAGAUUCCAGACCUGUUUGUGGUGGGUUACGCCUUAGGUUACAACGAAUACUUCAGAGAUCUGAAUCACAUAUGCGUGAUCAGUGAACAAGGUAAAGAAAAGUACCGAGUCUGAAGAGGUGAAUUCUCUCCAGCUGAUUUCCAGAUGGCCCCAGGAAACCCACAGGGAAGGAAGCCCGUCCCCGCAGACCUCCUCACUCGGUGCCAUAUUAAAAAAUCAUUUCAACGAGAGAGGUUGUUUUUCUGAGAUGAAAAUACAAAGAUGAUCAAAGGUUCUUAAGGAAAAGAAAGCAAGGCUUUGAUUUGAUUUGUUCCAAACUAAACAUGUCACCUUUAUACUCUGUCUACCUUCACACUCCUGAGCUACACCUUCUUUUGUUUUGAAACAGUUGUUGUGCUUCUAUUACAGUUCCCAGGAAUACCCCCACCUAGUUACUCAGAUGUUUUCCACUUAACUCUUGUUUUAACUCUACUGUGACCCUAUUUCACAAUCUCAAGAAGCUGGAAACCUUUUAAGUGAAGCCCUGAGCCAGUGCCCUGGGAAUGCAGUCAGGCUUCCAUACUAAUAAUGAAGAGGAAGGACAAUUUAAUAUAAAUUUCUGUUUGCACAUUUCUGACAAGCCGUUAUCAUCUGCUUUGACAAAGCCUUUCUGAAGUGCAGUGUCCAGUGAAUCUUAAUGAUGUUGUGAAAUGAGCCUUUGCUCUGUGCUCUGGAUGUGUGCUUCCGGGAUAUGAUGGUGGGACGGCAUGUCUGCAUGGGUGAACUCAACUGUGUUUAAUACUCGGAAUUUUAAUUAGAAAAAAUACAAUGCAGCCAAGCCCUGGUUUCUAAGCUGCAUCCUUUUAUUCAUGUGGGACAUGAGCAAAUGGCAGAAUGAGGAGGAAAAAGUGUUUUCAAGGCUCAAAGCUAAGCAAGGAUAAAACUUUCCUCUUAUUUGCACCAACUUGAACACAGAGGGUGAAUUAUUUUUUUAAGUAUCUUUAUAAGGCUGAUUAUACAAUCCAAGGCACCAGAGGAAACAACGCUUUAGAGAAAGCUUUUUCAGAAUAACAUUUUUCACUUUUUCCACUUUUGCCGCUUUAUGAAAUAUAUCCUAAUUUACAGGGAUUUUAAUUGAAAAUAAACUUUAGAGUGCCGAGAAGGCUGUUUUUCUUCACUUCCUAAAAGGAGCAAAUGCAAAAUAAAUAACUAGCAGCCUUUGUUUAGUUCUGAACUGUAUGUGGCAUUUUGUUGGUUGCCUCAGGCUUCUUUUAAACUAAUAAAGAACAAGAAAACUUGUUUGA